rnacentral:tRNA from 1 species
GCCCGGUUAGCUGAGUCGGUGGAGCACGAGACUCUUGAUCUGGCUGUCGCAGGUUCGAGCUUCGCAGCGGGCU